rnacentral:rRNA from 1 species
GAUGAACGCUGGCGGCGUGCCUAAUACAUGCAAGUCGAGCGAACAGAUGAGGAGCUUGCUCCUCUGACGUUAGCGGCGGACGGGUGAGUAACACGUGGAUAACCUACCUCUCAGACUGGGAUAACUUCGGGAAACCGGAUCUAAUACCGGAUAAUAUAUUGAACCGCAUGGUUCAAUAGUUAAAUACGGUUUUGCUGUCACUUAUAGCUGGAUCCGCGCCGCAUUAGCUAGUUGGUAAGGUAACGGCUUACCAAGGCAACGAUGCGUAGCCGACCUGAGAGGGUGAUCGGCCACACUGGAACUGAGACACGGUCCAGACUCCUACGGGAGGCAGCAGUAGGGAAUCUUCCGCAAUGGGCGAAAGCUUGACGGAGCAACGCCGCGUGAGUGAUGAAGGUCUUCGGAUCGUAAAACUCUGUUAUUAGGGAAGAACAAAUGUGUAAGUAACUAUGCACGUCUUGACGGUACCUAAAGAGAAAGCCACGGCUAACUACGUG